GGCGUGGAGUGGUGGAGACUCCUUAUAUACCUGUGCGCGUCAAGGACGACACUGUCCAAUCGCGUAUCAGAUGCGAAUAUGUCCACAAACAAAAAAAGGUGCUUUUAUAAAAAUAAAAACAACAAAAGCAAAAACAUAACAAAGCUAGGACAAAAGCAGACAAAAACCAACAAACACAUACAAAGCGCAACGGAAUGUGCGCAAAAGCCACUAUGUAACACUAGCAACAACAACAACGGCCUCCUCAAAAGCAACCCCACCGCAAAACAGAGCACCCGUUAAGUGGAGCAACAAGCAACCGAAGGAGAGAGCGCAUGUGAGCAAGUGAGCAAGCGAGCACCACACUGUAGGCGCCUGACGGUGGUGUGAUGUGGAGCAACAGUGGAGGAGCAUUUGAGCAUCUCAGAAAUAAACACAUGCACAUACAAACAAACGCAUGCAAUGCUGUCAAUGGCAGAGCAGAAUGAAAAAGCCGGUCUCGCCGCGUUGAGCGAGAGAGCAACAAACAUGGAAAGUCCCAGUUGGGCUGGCCAAACAAAUCCGGCUGAGUGGCAAACAGCUCUCAGCAACAUAUUUGUGUGCCGUUUGCUGGAAAUUUGAAAAGUGCGCAAGGCAAAGGGGUGGACCCAACUGCACAACAAUAACGAUAACAAAGUCAAAACAAAGGCCGCGCAGAGUCGGCAAGUCGGCAACCACCAAGCGGCUUCGCGCUCGUGUGUUUGUGGGUAUGCUUGUAUACAGAGCAACGAUAACAACAGUAGAGACGACAAAUUCUUAGCCGUAGCGGCCGGGUGGGCGAUUCAUUUUUCAAUCUCUCCGAUUUUUCAUUCAUUCGUCGAGUAAACGUCGACGCAGUCGGUUCAUAAAGACGCACGAUUUUCGCGUGAUUCACUAAUUACAAAAAAAAAAAGUUAAAGGAAAACAAAAAUAUUUAUUUGUUUGAUAGUUCAGCGUGCUCAAGUGAUCCUAAGCAGCAACAAAGCGGUGCGCGAGAAAUAUCAUUCUCGAUACUAAUUAGAAAGAAAAAAAUAAGUGUAGAAAUAAAAAAAAAAAUUGUGCGGUUUUUGCGAGGCGCUAAUUGCAAUUUGGCAAUUGCCGCUCUAAUCGAGGAAACAAAAUUAAUUACAAAAAUCGCAACAACAAAUCUGUAACGAAUCGGUGCUUUUGGAGCGUGUAAUACUACAUUAAGCCGGUUUUUUAAUUGUGGGAUCGGUUCGUUGCGCGUUGUCCGUUAUUUGUUUUGUGAUUUGUAAUUUGUGAUUUUACGCCACGAAAGUGCGUUUUCAAUCAACAACAAUUCUGCCAAAAGAAAUACAUAAAGCAACCAAUUAUAAUUGUAGUGAGCAGCGCGCUUGCAUACACACUGCUAUAUUCGGGUGGAUUUGUGUGUCGCUACAAAAAUCAAAGUUAAUUAAAAUUGAAUUGUGGCAUCGGCAGAAAAUCUACAACAGCAACAACAACAUCAAAUACAGUGGCAGCAGCAGCAUAGCAGUGGUAACGGCACAGGCACUAGCACAAAAGCGAAAGAGCGCAAAUUAAAAGCAAAUAACGAAUAAUUGAGAAAUCACAGUUGCGACUACGCGUUAAUUAAAUAACAACAACAUUGUAUCUUAUUGGUACAUACAUACUUACGUGUGUUUGAGAAAAACCACCCAACAACAAGCAUCGUGAAGAAAAUAGCAAAUCAGACAAUCUUUGUUUUUGUGUAAAAAAUUAACACAUCACUCAGUGUGCAGAAGUGCGAAUGCGAGUAAAUAUAAUUAUAGAAAAUAAUAGUAACAGUAACGUGCGAGAAGUGUGAAAUACAUAAGUGCAUGCAACGUUAGUUGUUUAGAAAAAGCAGUAAAGGAAAUUAUUCAUCUAGCCAAUAUUGCAACUCUAAAACAAAAUACAUAUAAAGUGAAUUUAGAGUAAUGCAAGAAUCAAAAAACGCAUAUUUCAGCUAGUAAUCAACACACCAAUUUUCUGUGGCAAUAAAUAGUGUUCAAAAUACGCGCGAAAAUUAAAAAAAUAAAAGAAACAAAAAUAAAACCAAACAUUAAAUUUGAUUGCAGUAAUUUGCUGUGCAAAAAAUAAUAUUUUAGUGCAUAUUUCUUGCUGUGAAGUUAAGAAAAAGUCAUCAAAUUUGACAACAACAGCACACAUAGGCAACAUAUUUCAAAAAACCAUCGCUAGCAUAUUACGGUAAAUAUUUAUUGCGUACAGCUCGGAAAAACGCAACGAAAGCGGCAUCAAAAUUUCACGCAGUUUUCCAUAGUUUACAUACAUACAUACAUACAUAGUUACUUAGGCAUUUGCUUUGUGUGCCGAAAAUUUAUUGCAGCUCGGAAAGGAAGGCGUGCCACGGACAAAUUCGCAUAUGUAAGCAAAGUUUCUGCAUUUCUAUUGCAAUUGUAUAUGGAAUUGUUUUAUGGGAUAUUAAUUGAAAGUACUGAACGAGUGUAAAACUUCACAUUAAAAUCUUCAAAUAUCCCAC
rnacentral:lncRNA from 1 species